AACAGCAUCAUCAGUGUCUCAAAUUGUCAAAUGACUGGGAGGAAAACCCUUGGCCCAGGAGAGAUCACGGAAGGCUGGUCACAAACCAAGCCAGAUGUUGACUUUCUUAAGACCAGCGAAUAGAGACAGGAGUUUCUUUUAUACUUAGAGAAACCAGAGAGUUUCACGGUAGCGUAACAACACGAGUGUCUCAGCUCCCCACUUCUCUCCUUUCUCCUGGAAAUUCCCAUCUAUGCAGCCUCUGGCCACUCUGGAUCCACUCUGCCUCCUGCCUCUCAGCCACACAGUAUGCCCAUUCUUCUGUGGCAUCAUUUAUCUCCCUCUGGUUUUCUCCACUGUGAAUCCUCACACAUAUCACUUAACUUAGUAAGCAAGUCUCCAUCUGUCUUGAAAAAAAGAAGAAAAUGAUGAUGGAAUGGAAGAAAGAGAACUAAAGGAGAGCCAUCAAAUCAGACAAAAGCUAUCUGUCUCUUUGGAGAGACAACCUCUGGGCUCAUCCACUGCAUUACAUUCUUAGAGCUUGUAGAAGAGCGGUCAUUAAAUAUUUUCAAGGCUACAGACUCCUUCAAGAAUUGAUAAAAGCUAUAGAACUUCUUUCCACAAAAAUGCAUGUAUUGCACACUGAAUGUCUGCAUGCAGUCCUUGAGGGGAGGACCUCUGAGGCCUAUCUCUGAGUCUGCAGUGUCCAUGAGCCCAUGUCAGGAAUUCCUGCAACACACAUUAUGUGAUUUUAAAAUACUUAAAUGAAAGUUUUUUCCAGUGUCCUCCAGAAGCAAAUUCCAUUAAACAAG
rnacentral:lncRNA from 1 species